AUGUCGGAUGGCUGGUCGGAUAAAAGAGGACGCCAUUUGAUUAACUUCCUUGUUAAUAGUCCAGAGGGCACUUUCUUCUUGGAGUCGGUUGAUGCCUCAAGUGUAUGUCAAGAUGGUGAUAUGAUAGCUGAUUUGCUUGAGAAGAGAAUUCUGGAUGUUGGAAAAGAGAAUGUGGUACAAGUUAUCACCGAUAAUGGUGCUAAUUACAAGAAAGCUGGCCACCUUCUAAUGGAGAGGAUGCCUACUCUAUAUUGGAGCCCGUGUGCAUGUCAUUGCUUGGACCUAAUGUUGGAAGAUAUAGGAAAGUUGAAGGCAUUUAAGAAGCCUAUUGCAGGGGCUAGACGUGUCACAACUUUCAUCUAUAGACAUGGAAGACUUCUUAGUCUAAUGAGGAAGGCCACGGGUGGGGAUCUUGUGAGACCAGCAGCCACUCGUUUUGCCACAGCCAUCCUCACACUUAGGAGUUUGGUCAAGAACAAGGCUGCAUUGAGGAGUUUAUUUACAUCUGAAGAAUGGGUUGGAAACAAGUUAGCAAAAACACAAGUUGGCUUGAAUGUGCAAGAGAUUAUACUUUCAACGGAGUGGUGGAGCGCAAUUGAGGACUGCCUUAGAGCUUCAACUCCACUUCUUAGAGUUCUUAGAGUAGCAGAUGGUGAUGAGAAGCCUGCCAUGCCAGAGAUUAAAGCACUUAUGAUUUAUGCAAAGGAGAGGAUCAAUCUAGGUUUCCCUCAACGAAACAAGCAACCAUUGCUCAAGAAGAUCUUGGCCAUUGUUGAUAAGCGUUGGGAGAAUCAAAUGGAUCAUCCAUUGUAUGGGGCUGCUCUAUUUUUGAACCCAGGAAAGUUCUUUCCUAUUGUAAGCAGAAAUGAUGAUGCCUUAGUUGGGGAGCUUAGGAGCUGCUUUAAUGAUGUGCUUGCAAAAAUGGUACCGGAUGCCAAUGUUCGAAAAAAGAUUGAUCAACAAUCUGUGCUCUAUGAGCAACAGCGAGAAAGCUUUUCUAAUCCAUUGGCACUCGAGACCAUGAGCACAAGAAACCCUCUUGAUUGGUGGAGUUCAUUUGGUGGUCGGGCCAUUGACCUACAAAGGUUUGCAAAGCGCAUUGUUAGUCUUUGUGCUUCAUCAUCUGGUUGUGAGAGGAAUUGGAGCAUGUUUGAAUUUAUCCAUACAAAGAAAAGGAACAGAUUACAAUGGAAAAGGUUGAAUGAUCUUGUCUUUGUUUCAUACAACCGGAAGAAUAUGCAACGGUUUCAAAAGAGGCGUGGGAAGGUGGGCGAGAAUAGCUUUGAGGCUUUGGUCAUUGAGUAUUUUGAUUGGGGCAAUGAGUGGGUGGACCCAUCACUAUCACAACCUCAAGGUGCUCGAGGUUGUCCUGAAGACAAUCAAGACAUUACAUGGGAGGAUGUUGAUGUGGCUAUUGGUGCAUCUUCAAACCUUCGAGGCCGCAAUCUGCAUAGGACAGCAACUACACUUCGUAGGGGCCAGACAAAUGUCCGUCUGCACUACGCACGCAAGAGACCUACUACAACACGACCUAUAAUUCCUGAAGAAGAUGAGGUAGAGGAGGACUUGGAGCAAGAGCAACACUCAAGUAUGCCCAAUGCGGAGGGGGAGGAUUCAGACUACGUUGAGGAUGAUGAUGAUGUGAGCAAUGACGAUCAAGAGCCAACUAAUGUUGACCAAGAUGGUGAAGACAACACCAAUGCCAAUGAGUUUGAUGAUGAUGACUUUUGA
rnacentral:rRNA from 1 species